CGUUAGCUCAGUAGGUAGAGCACCCGACUUUUAAUCAGGUGGUCGCUGGUUCGAUCCCAGCACG
rnacentral:tRNA from 1 species